UGUAACGGCACCCCCAGGCAUAAAAGGGUUAAACCGCCUUUUAGUAGAUCUUCCCUUCCAGAGACACAAGCACAGCUACUGCAGAACACCAAUCCGCCGAACAGGAAACCAUAUGAAUGCUGUAAACAGCCGAAUAGGAAAAACCAUACGAAUAGGUUUACACUCCUAGCAGUCAAACUGUAACAGCAUUCAAUAAAUCCCCCCAAGAACGAGACAAAGCUCC